rfam:Capsicum annuum cultivar Zunla-1 chromosome 8, whole genome shotgun sequence
ACUUCAUGGUUAGGGAAUUGCAUGAUAUUUUCAUUAAAAUUUCUCAUACUUCAUAAAAAGGUUCCUCAUUGAGUUGAUGAAAAAUUGUAAUUUCUUCUGGCAAU